AAAUUGAAGAGUUUGAUCAUGGCUCAGAUUGAACGCUGGCGGCAGGCCUAACACAUGCAAGUCGAACGGUAACAGGAAGCAGCUUGCUGCUUCGCUGACGAGUGGCGGACGGGUGAGUAAUGUCUGGGAAACUGCCUGAUGGAGGGGGAUAACUACUGGAAACGGUAGCUAAUACCGCAUAAUGUCGCAAGACCAAAGAGGGGGACCUUCGGGCCUCUUGCCAUCGGAUGUGCCCAGAUGGGAUUAGCUUGUUGGUGGGGUAACGGCUCACCAAGGCGACGAUCCCUAGCUGGUCUGAGAGGAUGACCAGCCACACUGGAACUGAGACACGGUCCAGACUCCUACGGGAGGCAGCAGUGGGGAAUAUUGCACAAUGGGCGCAAGCCUGAUGCAGCCAUGCCGCGUGUAUGAAGAAGGCCUUCGGGUUGUAAAGUACUUUCAGCGGGGAGGAAGGGAGUAAAGUUAAUACCUUUGCUCAUUGACGUUACCCGCAGAAGAAGCACCGGCUAACUCCGUGCCAGCAGCCGCGGUAAUACGGAGGGUGCAAGCGUUAAUCGGAAUUACUGGGCGUAAAGCGCACGCAGGCGGUUUGUUAAGUCAGAUGUGAAAUCCCCGGGCUCAACCUGGGAACUGCAUCUGAUACUGGCAAACUUGAGUCUCGUAGAGGGGGGUAGAAUUCCAGGUGUAGCGGUGAAAUGCGUAGAGAUCUGGAGGAAUACCGGUGGCGAAGGCGGCCCCCUGGACGAAGACUGACGCUCAGGUGCGAAAGCGUGGGGAGCAAACAGGAUUAGAUACCCUGGUAGUCCACGCCGUAAACGAUGUCGACUUGGAGGUUGUGCCCUUGAGGCGUGGCUUCCGGAGCUAACGCGUUAAGUCGACCGCCUGGGGAGUACGGCCGCAAGGUUAAAACUCAAAUGAAUUGACGGGGGCCCGCACAAGCGGUGGAGCAUGUGGUUUAAUUCGAUGCAACGCGAAGAACCUUACCUGGUCUUGACAUCCACGGAAGUUUUCAGAGAUGAGAAUGUGCCUUCGGGAACCGUGAGACAGGUGCUGCAUGGCUGUCGUCAGCUCGUGUUGUGAAAUGUUGGGUUAAGUCCCGCAACGAGCGCAACCCUUAUCCUUUGUUGCCAGCGGUCCGGCCGGGAACUCAAAGGAGACUGCCAGUGAUAAACUGGAGGAAGGUGGGGAUGACGUCAAGUCAUCAUGGCCCUUACGACCAGGGCUACACACGUGCUACAAUGGCGCAUACAAAGAGAAGCGACCUCGCGAGAGCAAGCGGACCUCAUAAAGUGCGUCGUAGUCCGGAUUGGAGUCUGCAACUCGACUCCAUGAAGUCGGAAUCGCUAGUAAUCGUGGAUCAGAAUGCCACGGUGAAUACGUUCCCGGGCCUUGUACACACCGCCCGUCACACCAUGGGAGUGGGUUGCAAAAGAAGUAGGUAGCUUAACCUUCGGGAGGGCGCUUACCACUUUGUGAUUCAUGACUGGGGUGAAGUCGUAACAAGGUAACCGUAGGGGAACCUGCGGUUGGAUCACCUCCUUA
rnacentral:rRNA from 1 species